rnacentral:rRNA from 1 species
CCUACGGGAGGCAGCAGUGGGGGAUAUUGCACAAUGGGGGGAACCCUGAUGCAGCGACGCCGCGUGGGUGAAGAAGGGCCUCGGCGCGUAAAGCCCUGUCAGCAGGGAAGAAAAUGACGGUACCUGAAGAAGAAGCCCCGGCUAACGACGUGCCAGCAGCCGCGGUAAUACGUAGGGGGCAAGCGUUCUCCGGAUUUACUGGGGGGAAAGGGGGCGCAGACGGCGAGGCAAGCCAGGAGUGAAAGCCCGGGGCCCAACCCCGGGACUGCUCUUGGAACUGCGUGGCUGGAGUGCAGGAGGGGCAGGCGGAAUUCCUGGUGUAGCGGUGACAUGCGUAGAUAUCAGGAGGAACACCGGUGGCGACGGCGGCCUGCUGGACUGCACCUGACGUUGAGGCCCGACAGCGUGGGGAGCAAACAGGAUUAGACACCCGUGUAGUC